rnacentral:rRNA from 1 species
CUUUCUUUGCUGGCGACCGGCGCACGGGUGAGUAACACGUAUCUAACCUGCCCUUUACUCGGGGAUAGCCUUUCGAAAGAAAGAUUAAUACCCGAUAGCAUAAUGAUUCCGCAUGGUUUCAUUAUUAAAGGAUUCCGGUAAAGGAUGGGGAUGCGUUCCAUUAGGUUGUUGGUGAGGUAACGGCUCACCAAGCCUUCGAUGGAUAGGGGUUCUGAGAGGAAGGUCCCCCACAUUGGAACUGAGACACGGUCCAA